rnacentral:antisense_RNA from 1 species
UGUAGGAGUGAGCCUGCUCGCGAUGGCGCCAGGUCAGUCAAUUCAUCUGUGGCUGACACUCCGCUAUCGCGAGCAGGCUCACUCCUACA